rnacentral:rRNA from 1 species
CCGUAAGUGGCCCGCGCAAAGACUUGACGACUCUGAAUAAUUUCUAGCUGAUCGCACGGUCGAUACCAUUGCUAAACGCGUGUACGCACACGCGUAUAUAGUGUGUAUAAAACACAGCGCCGGCGACGUAUCUUUCAAAUGUCUGCCUUAUCAACUGUCGACGGUAGGUUCGACGCCUACCGUGGUGGUAACGGGUAACGGGGAAUCAGGGUUCGAUUCCGGAGAGGGAGCCUGAGAAACGGCUACCACAUCCAAGGAAGGCAGCAGGCGCGCAAAUUACCCACUCCCAGCUCGGGGAGGUAGUGACGAAAAAUAACGAUACGGGACUCAUCCGAGGCCCCGUAAUCGGAAUGAGUACACUUUAAAACCUUGGUCGCACGAGGAUCAAU